UUGGAGGGCAAGUCUGGUGCCAGCAGCCGCGGUAAUUCCAGCUCCAAUAGCGUAUAUUAAAGUUGUUGCAGUUAAAAAGCUCGUAGUUGAAUUUCGGGGUUAGUAGGCUGGUCGUGCCACCGGUACGUACUGGUCUUACUGAUUCCUCCUUCCUGAUGAAUCUUAAUGCCAUUAAUUUGGUGUUUUGGGGAAUUUGGACUGUUACUUUGAAAAAAUUAGAGUGUUUAAAGCAGGCUAACGCUUGAAUACAUUAGCAUGGAAUAAUGAAAUAGGACGUUCGAUCCUAUUUUGUUGGUUUCUAGGAUUGACGUAAUGGUUAAUAGGGAUAGUUGGGGGCAUUAGUAUUCAAUUGUCAGAGGUGAGAUUCUUGGAUUUAUUGAAGACUAACUACUGCGAAAGCAUUUGCCAAGGAUGUUUUCAUUAAUCAAGAACGAAAGUUAGGGGAUCGAAGACGAUCAGAUACCGUCGUAGUCUUAACCAUAAACUAUGCCGACUAGGGAUCGGAUGAUGUUAAUUUUUUAAUGACUCAUUCGGCGCCUUACGGGAAAC
rnacentral:rRNA from 1 species